CUACGGGCCGCACCAGUCGAGAAUAGUCUACAAUGGACGAAAGUCUGAUAGUGCGACGCCGCGUGGAUGAAGAAGCAUUUCGGUGUGUAAAGUCCUUUUCUGUGUGAGCAAUGUUUUCCAGGUUAAUAGCUUGGAGAAAGCGAUAUUAACACAGGAAUAAGCUCCGGCUAACUCCGUGCCAGCAGCCGCGGUAACACGGGGGGAGCAAGCGUUGUCCGGAAUUACUAGGCGUAAAGGGUAAGUAGGCGGAAUUGUAAGUCAGAUGUUAAAGGCACCGGCUCAACCGGUGUAUGGCAUUUGAUACUGUAAUUCUAGAGUAAGGUGGGGGAAGACGGAAUUCCUGGUGUAGCGGUGGAAUGCGCAGAUAUCAGGAGGAACACCAGAGGCGCAGGCGGUCUUCUAUACCAUUACUGACGCUCAAUUACGAAGGUGUGGGUAUCAAACAGGAUUAGAUACCCCUGUAGUC
rnacentral:rRNA from 1 species